rnacentral:rRNA from 1 species
UACGGGGGGGGCAAGCGUUGUUCGGAAUUACUGGGCGUAAAGGGCGCGUAGGCGGCCUGCUAAGUCACACGUGAAAUCCCUCGGCUCAACCGGGGAACUGCGUGUGAUACUGGCGGGCUUGAAUUCGGUAGGGGAGACUGGAAUUCCUGGUGUAGCGGUGAAAUGCGCAGAUAUCAGGAGGAACACCGGUGGCGAAGGCGGGUCUCUGGGCCGAUAUUGACGCUGAGGAGCGAAAGCGUGGGGAGCGAACAGG